UGAUGCUCUUCCUGUCUGCCUGCACAGCACAGUUUUGUGACCUGAUUCAAAUUCGUUGCAGGAACUUUGCUGACGAGCCCAAUCGAAGGUGGAAGAGAAGGCACGGAAGCCAAAAAGAAUUUGGAAAUCAAAUACAUUUUAAUUGGAUGUGGCAUCGGUCUGCUUUUGACCCUUUUUAUGAUCAUCAAGUACUGCAUGAUCAGAAAACACAUGCAAGACAAAAGAUCCGAAGAGCAGACCACUUUUAUUUAGAUGGGAGGAGCCGCAUGAUUUGAAAAGAGAAUAAACCAACAACCGUGGAGCCCAUGCUGUAGAUAGACGUGCCCUGUAUUGUUGCUGUCCCGCUGCUCUACUGACACACAUACUGCACGCUCUUUAUUUGGCCUACUCAGCACGAGUGUCCAGCAUGAAAAAAAAAAGAAGAAAAAGUUGCCUGCCACAAGGGGACAGCAGUACACAUGGAGAACUUUUCAAAGACGGCUCUAUGCUGAGGGCUCUAUUAGUUUUGUUGAAGAUUAAACACAAUCGGAGCAGACAUUUAUACAUUUUCAAAUAGCAGCCUAAUUUUUUUCAAAUAUAAAGAGUUACAAAUUUAAUGCAAUACAUUCCAUGUCGGAAAUACUGUUACACCGCAUUCAAAGAACUAAUCAUUCAGUAACAUGACAAAAUGUUGCCAACCAUUUGACUACUGUCAAGGAAUUAUCAUAAAG